GUUAUUGAAAUUAGGGGGAGUAAGGGGAAUAAAAAAUGUAUGGAAAUUAUGAGUGUUAGAACUGAGCACAAUCAUUGCAGCAUCUGAUGCAGACAUUUCAGGGUAAGCGAAGUAGUCUCUUCAGAAUAAAAAUGAGGGUAAUUAGACUCAAUUCAUUUAUUCAACACUUGGGUCAAGUCCAUGAACUCUACAAAGAUAACUGUGCCAUGGAUUUUGCUCUCUAGAGUGGUAAGACACGUAUAUGGUUUGUCUACUCAUUCAGCAAACACUUUCUGGGCAUGUUUUGUCUCCUGAGGUCAGCUCUGGAGAUACAAUGGUACAUGGCACAAAUCUUUGCAAGUGCUAAAUAUAAUACCUGAUAUUAAUAGGCUGUGAGUGAAGAGCACAAAAUGUGUAGUGGGUGUUCCUGGGAUACAGUAGCUCUGUGCAUGUAGAAGGGAUUAGUAAGGGCCUCGUGAAGGAGACAGCAUUUGUUCUGGGACUUGAAGGAAAGACAGGAUUGGAAAUGUAGAGAUGCUAAGGAAGGUUGUCCUCAAUAGAGAAAAUGCCAUAGCUGAAGGCCCCUCAUAUGCUAUUCUUAUCUAACUAUGUGAUUCUAAGCUCAGGUGAUCCAAAGAGGCUCCUCAGAGUUGUGGCAAACUGAAGCCAGUGGUGUAGGUUGAAAGGAAUCUGAGAGAAGAUCAACACCCAGGAGAAUCUAAGGUCCCAUUGUGGGUGAAUCAUUUUGGGCCAUGUUUCAGAACAAAAUUUCCACAGACUCACUACCAAAUACUCAUGGACUUAUAUUUUUGGUUCAGAGGUUUGAUGAAAAACUCUGGAAGCCUAUUGCAGAGAACUGAAUAAGUUAGACUUUUGGAAAUCUGCCAGAUGCAAUUGAAAAACCCUGCUCAGCUUUGUCCAAUGUCUCAUUUGAGGAUCAGCAUGAGUUUGUUUACUUGAGAUUAACAGGAGUCAAGGAUAUACAAAUUCAGCAAUGUAUGGAUAACUUUCCCCUUUUUAACGCUGGCCUCACCACAAAACUACCACCAUAUUGUUGAAUUUUGGAAGUUUAUUAUGCUUUAUUUUUUCCUAUAAAAAAAUAAAUGUCAUCACAUUGUAAUAGUUUUAUAACCUGUUUUAUCAUAUUUUAAAAUACAUCUUGAAUAUUCUUUCAUAUAAUUAAUCUUCUACAGCAUAAUUUUAAUAUCUAUGAAGAUUCCAUUAUGUGCUUGUAUUAUACAUUUUUACUCUGAAUACAUUAU
ensembl:lncRNA novel transcript